ensembl:misc_RNA Metazoa_SRP Metazoan signal recognition particle RNA
GCCAGGCGUGGUGGUGCACGCCUGUAGUCCCAGCUACUUGGGAGGCUGAGGCAGGAGAAUCGCUUGAACUCAGGAGUCGUAAGCUGCAGUGAGCAGAGAUAGCACCACUGCACUCCAGCCUGGGCAACAGAGCGAGACUCUGUCUCAA